CUGCCAGUAGUCAUAUGCUUGUCUCAAAGAUUAAGCCAUGCACGUCUAAGGAUAAAUAUUAUUAACCAUAAACCUGCGAAAGGCUCAUUAAAUCAGUAAUAAUCUAUUCUAUUAUUUAAUCCUAUUUGGAUAACUGUAGUAAUUCUAGAGCUAAUACAUGCAAAAACCUGGACUUUACAGAACAGGUGUACUUAUUAGACUUUAAAACCGAUUACAAUUUAUUGUAAAUUUAAAAUGAAUUAAAAUAAGUUUAUGAAUCGCAGAUCAUUUUGUGAUGAUAAGAAUGAAUUUCUGCCCUAUCAACUUUCGAUGGUAAUGUAGUGGAUUACCAUGGUGAUGACGGGUAACGGGGAAUUAGGGUUUGAUUCCGGAGAAAAGGCCUGAGAGACGGCCAUUACUUCUAAGGAAGGCAGCAGGCGCGUAAAUUACCCAAUCCUAAUACGGG
rnacentral:rRNA from 1 species